UACGGAGGGAGCUAGCGUUGUUCGGAAUUACUGGGCGUAAAGCGCACGUAGGCGGCUUUGUAAGUUAGAGGUGAAAGCCCGGAGCUCAACUCCGGAACUGCCUUUAAGACUGCAUCGCUUGAAUCCAGGAGAGGUGAGUGGAAUUCCGAGUGUAGAGGUGAAAUUCGUAGAUAUUCGGAAGAACACCAGUGGCGAAGGGCGGCUCACUGGAGCUGGUAUUGACGCUGAGGUGCGAAAGCGUGGGGAGCAAACAGG
rnacentral:rRNA from 1 species